UACGAAGGGGGCUAGCAUUGUUCGGAAUCACUGGGCGUAAAGCGCACGUAGGCGGAUUUGUUAGUCAGGGGUGAAAUCCCGGGGCUCAACCUCGGAACUGCCUUUGAUACUGCAGAUCUCGAGUCCGGAAGAGGUGAGUGGAAUUCCUAGUGUAGAGGUGAAAUUCGUAGAUAUUAGGAAGAACACCAGUGGCGAAGGCGGCUCAAUGGCCCGGUACUGACGCUGAGGUGCGAAAGCGUGGGGAGCAAACAGG
rnacentral:rRNA from 1 species